GCGUGCUUAAUUCAUGCAAGUCGAACGAACCUUCGGGUUAGUGGCGGACGGGUGAGUAACGCGUGAGAAUCUGCCCUCAGGAGGGGGAUAACGGCUGGAAACGGCCGCUAAUACCCCAUAUGCCGCGAGGUGAAAUGAAUUUCGCCUGAGGAUGAGCUCGCGUCUGAUUAGCUAGUUGGUGGGGUAAAGGCCUACCAAGGCAUCGAUCAGUAGCUGGUCUGAGAGGAUGAUCAGCCACACUGGGACUGAGACACGGCCCAGACUCCUACGGGAGGCAGCAGUGGGGAAUUUUCCGCAAUGGGCGAAAGCCUGACGGAGCAACGCCGCGUGAGGGAUGAAGGCCUCUGGGCUGUAAACCUCUUUUAUCAAGGAAGAAGAUCUGACGGUACUUGAUGAAUAAGCCACGGCUAAUUCCGUGCCAGCAGCCGCGGUAAUACGGGAGUGGCAAGCGUUAUCCGGAAUUAUUGGGCGUUAAGCGUCCGCAGGCGGCCCUUCAAGUCUGCUGUUAAAACGUGGAGCUUAACUCCAUCAUGGCAGUG
rnacentral:rRNA from 1 species